CCCUCUGCCGAGUCAGAACACCCCCACCGGGCCAGCCAGUACCUUCCACGCCAGAAAGCACUCCACCUCCACCACCUCCCAGCUGACCUUCCAGGUGAGGGAUGCCAGGCUGACCCCUGGUCCUGGAGCUGUCCACCCUUGUGCCUCAUUCAAAUCCCAUCUGUCCUUCCAGGACCACCUCCUCCAGGAAGUCGACUCGCUGACCCCAAGCCACCUCUGACCUGCCCGUAGCAGGCAUGUCUGCUCCCUCCUAAUCAUGUCUGUCCUGCACAGCUGGGGUUUCCUUGGUUUCAUUUUAACUAACAUUAACUGACCACAUCUUAGGCCCCAGACUCUAAGCUAAACACUUGAAGUGCAUUUCCUUAUUUAAUCCUCUCACAACCUGCCACAUGGCAUUAGGGUCCUUAUCUUACAGAGGAGGAAACUGAGGUGAAGGGAGGCAAGGCAGACGUGUCCCUAGUCAGCCAGCUGUUUCAUCAAGAUUCAAACCCAAGUCAGGGAGGGAGGAGGAGCAGGUGCCCCGAGGGAAGGGGGAAGCUGCUGCCAGAACUGGGGUAGGGGCAGAGGCAGGUGGCAUCAGGGGCUCUCAGCCAAACUCAGCUCCCCAGGGGGACAGAGGCACACCUGGAGGGCUUGGCGGGAACAUCAGUAGCGUGCCCAAGGGCACCCACUUCCCAGGGCUACUCCUGCAUGGGCAGGGCACGCCAGCAACAGCAGCCUGGAGGCGUGGGGACCAGUGACCCUUCUUCAAAUUGCCAGGCCUCAGUGUUCCUCGAAAACCCCAGAGGGGCCUGUGGUCGUCCUGGAAAGCCAAGAGCUGCUGGACCAAACUUAUUUGAUCUCAAAAAGAGAAGAAAUGUGUAAUUUCCAGCCCUGAAAGGUUGUGGAGCACACCCACAAACACCUGUCAUAGCUGUAUGUUUUGGGUGUGAGUCCUGGCUCCAGAGUUGUGUGAUGUGGCCAGAUUACUUAUCUUCCCUGUGCCUCAGUCCCCCAUCUGGGAACAUGGAGAUAACAGCAAUGUCUACUUGAUAGAGAUGUUACAAGAAUUGAGUGUAAAAUAGAAGAGUUUCUGGUAUCGGA